AUUGAACGCUGGCGGCAGGCCUAACACAUGCAAGUCGAGCGGUAGAGAGGUGCUUGCAUCUCUUGAGAGCGGCGGACGGGUGAGUAAUGCCUAGGAAUCUGCCUAGUGGUGGGGGAUAACGUUCGGAAACGGACGCUAAUACCGCAUACGUCCUACGGGAGAAAGCGGGGGAUCUUCGGACCUCGCGCCAUUAGAUGAGCCUAGGUCGGAUUAGCUAGUUGGUGAGGUAAUGGCUCACCAAGGCGACGAUCCGUAACUGGUCUGAGAGGAUGAUCAGUCACACUGGAACUGAGACACGGUCCAGACUCCUACGGGAGGCAGCAGUGGGGAAUAUGGACAAUGGGCGAAAGCCUGAUCCAGCCAUGCCGCGUGUGUGAAGAAGGUCUUCGGAUUGU
rnacentral:rRNA from 1 species